UUUUUAGUACGUAAGCGCCAUGGAUGGCGAAUCGUGCAUGCUGCUACUAAGAAUCAGCAGUAGCUUUUGAAGAAAAA
rfam:Glossina pallidipes unplaced genomic scaffold Scaffold429, whole genome shotgun sequence.